rnacentral:sRNA from 1 species
GGCGUCUGAGGCCGGUGCGGAGGAGAACCUCGCGGGGCAGGAGGUCCGACUCGAGCGAAGCGAGAGCACGUUGCGCCAGCAACGGCCCGCAGGGCGAGCCACGAAGUGGUGAGUCAUCCUCUAUCACCGACCA